GGCGCUGUGGCUUAGCUGGUCAGAAUGCCUGUCUUGUAAACAGGAGAUCCUGGGCUUAAAUCCCAGCAGCGCCU
rnacentral:tRNA from 1 species